rnacentral:lncRNA from 1 species
AUAUAUAUAUAUAUAUAUAUAUUGAGAGAUAGGUAUCACGAUACCCGUUUCAUUUAUUUCAUUUAGAAAUAAACUUAGCUAGAAAUGUGAAUCAACUAGGAUUCGAACUUGGGUCUCGGAUACCAACCACCAAGCCCUUUGCUACUUGUUUUAGGGACGGUUGGUAUAAUUUUCUUUAAUAUGGAUUGUGAGAAUUUGUAUGGUAUUGUUACUAUUGUACGUGUGUUAUUAAAAUUUUUGUUUGAUUGCUAAAAUUAUGGAUAGGUUGUUACUAUUUUUUUUUCAUUAUUAGGAUUGUAUGCAAUUUGUUAGAAUAUUUAAAUGUUUGUUAGAAUUAUAUAUAGAAAAUAGAAGAAAAAAAAAAGUCCUUUAAAUUUUAUUAAAGACUCAAUGGUAAAUGAUUCACUGUCUUUUAAUAAAUUUUAUUAACGACGGUGAACUAAUUAUUCUCCCACCGUGACGCUGAAUAGGACAAAUUAAAUAGAAUAAUUUGGCCAACUAAAAUUUUGAUUGGGUUGUUGUGACGCACUGGACCGUUGCAAAUUGUAAGAUUCGAGUGUUUGUUUCGUGUUUUGAGCUUUUCCACACUUCGUGGAAGGUUGUUGACAGUGUUCCGACCCAUGGUUCGAACCCCGAGAUUGGAGGUUUAAAACCUAUCACCAAAAUCCGAAAAGUCGGAAUUUUGGUCAGCUCUUGGGUAGCCUCACAGGGCUGCGUACCGGUACGGAGUUGAUGGUUGUACCGGUACGCGCUGAUGGCUGUAGCGGUACAGGGCUGGUGUACCGGUACACAGACGGAUUUCGUGCAAACCCGAGGCUCGGGUUUGGCUGUUUCGCAGGUGUUGUACCGGUACGCGAGCCCGUGUACCGGUACACAGUGCAGCGCGAGCAGUUUUUCGGGUAGGGGUGUUUUUAUAAUUGUUGCAUCUCUAUUUAACACCACCACAGCCCUUGGGGGGACUCUUUUGAGCCCCAGACCUGUGGAGAAGAGGUGAGACUCUCCCCCUUUGAUUUCUUCUCCAUAUUUGAUGGAUUUUAGUUGGUUU